GCUCCGCUGGCGCAAUGGUAGCGCGUUAGACUUCUAAUCUAAAGGUUGUGGGUUCGAGUCCCACGCGGAGUG